rnacentral:rRNA from 1 species
CCUACGGGAGGCAGCAGUGAGGAAUUUUCCGCAAUGGGCGAAAGCCUGACGGAGCAAUACCGCGUGAGGGAUGAAGGAUUUUGGUCUGUAAACCUCUUUUCUCAAGAAAGAAGUUCUGACGGUACUUGAGGAAUAAGCAUCGGCUAACUCCGUGCCAGCAGCCGCGGUAAUACGGGGGAUGCAAGCGUUAUCCGGAAUGAUUGGGCGUAAAGCGCCUGUAGGUUGUUUAUUAAGUCCGUUGUUAAAGCCUAGGGCUCAACCCUAGAAAAGCAAUGGAAACUAGUAGACUAGAGUAUGGCAGGGGUAGAGGGAAUUUCUAGUGUAGCGGUGAAAUGCGUAGAUAUUAGAAAGAACACCGGUGGCGAAAGCGCUCUACUGGACCAUUACUGACACUCAGAGGCGAAAGCUAGGGUAGCAAAAGGGAUUAGAUACCCCUGUAGUCCUAGCCGUAAACGAUGGAUACUAGAUGUUGUGCAUUAUGUACAGUAUCGUAGCUAACGCGUUAAGUAUCCCGCCUGGGGAGUACGCUCGCAAGGGUGAAACUCAAAUGAAUUGACGGNUGAGAGNGCGAGCGACACGAGGAGAG